CCGGACCUUCCGCCUUCGAUUUAAAAAUUUGGCGCGGAAAGCGGGACCGUAGCUGGCACCGCCCCCGAGUGCGCGGGGCUGGAGCGCGGGCGAGCCCCUCCCCCGCCCUCUGCGCGGGAGCUCGGCUCCUCCCCACGGGCCCCGGCGGGGCGGGAGGCGGGAAACGGCCGCCUUCACCCUGGCCUUCCCGGGAUCCCACAACCCCGCCGCAGCAGUCUGCUCCCCGCUCACCUGUCAAUCCUCCUUCAGAGCUGACGGUCCGGGGUGGCCCCGAAUCCUGGCUGCGCGUCUCAGGGAGCCAGCGCGUCUCAGGGAGACUCGCUUAGCCCCGCCGCGCAGAGAAGUGGAAAAAGAAGCUCGGCACCCCAACUAUGCCUUUCCGUGCACCCGCCUUUGCCUCGUAACAUUUCCCCUUUUCUGAUCACUCUGGGAUCGCCCGGACCGCAUGUUGCCCAACCCGCUUACAUCUAAGAUUGUGGUUUGGGCUGUUCCUGCUUUUAACUUUGUAUCUUCAGCCUCCAGAAGGACUCGGGGCCACGCAGUCCAAGUCCCAUCACUGAGCUUGGCCAUCAGUAAGCUAACCAUCACUGACUUCAAGGGAGAUACUGUGUUUUCCUGGCGGUGGUUAGGGCGUGGAUGCCAUAACACCGCCCCGGGAUCCAGUUCUAGUAGCUAUCAGAAGCUCCGGUGCUCAGGGUCACCCAAGUGUUCCUCAAGACCAGGAUUGGACCUGAAUGUUCACGUGCUGUACACAGGGGCUGGCUGGCUGUAGCAUCGGAUGCAAAAUAAAAAUCCGUCAUGAGGCA
rnacentral:lncRNA from 1 species